GUUCUUUCGCUUGGGAACAGGGAUAUGUAUUAAUAGUACAUAGACUUGAGGGUACCAGGUAAAGAAGCACCGGCUAACUCCGUGCCAGCAGCUGCGGUAAUACGGAGGGUGCAAGCAUUAAUCGGAUUUACUGGGCGUAAAGGGUGCGUAGGCGGGAUAGCAAGUCACGUGUGAAAUUCCAGAGCUCAACUCUGGAACUGGAUGUGAAACUGCUAACCUAGAGGUAAAGUGGAGAAAACGGAAUUUCCCAUGUAGCGGUGAAAUGCGUAGAUAUGGGAAGGAACACCGGCGGCGAAAGCGGUUUUCUAACUUUAACCUGACGCUGAGGCACGAAAGCGAGGGGAGCAAACAGGAUUAGAUACCCUGGUAGUCCUCGCCGUAAACGAUGCAUACUUGAUGUGGUCGGGCUCAACCCCGAUCGUGUCGGAGCUAACGCGAUAAGUAUGCCGCCUGGGGAGUACGCCCGCAAGGGUUAAACUCAAAAGAAUUGACGGGGGCCCGCACAAGUAGUGGAGCAUGUGGUUUAAUUCGAUGCAACGCGAAGAACCUUACCCAGGCUUGACAUGCAGAUUAAGUUAUUAGAAAUACUGACGCCCGCAAGGGAAUCUGUGCAGGUGCUGCAUGGCUGUCGUCAGCUCGUGCCGUGAGGUGUUGGGUUAAGUCCCGCAACGAGCGCAACCCUUAUCGUUAGUUGCCAUCAGUUCGGCUGGGGACUCUAGCGAGACUGCCUAGGUUAACUAGGAGGAAGGUGAGGAUGACGUCAAGUCAGCAUGGCCCUUAUGCCUGGGGCUACACACGUGCUACAAUGGUAGGUACAAAGGGCAGCGAAGCCGCGAGGUGGAGCAAAUCCCAUAAAGC
rnacentral:rRNA from 1 species